rnacentral:rRNA from 1 species
CUACGGGUUGCUGCAGCAAGGAAUAUUGUACAAUGGGGGAAACCCUGAUACAGCAACGCCGCGUGAAGGAAGAAGGCCUUCGGGUUGUAAACUUCUGUUUUAGAGGAAGAAACAAAUGACGGUACUCUUAGAGGAAGCCCCGGCAAACUACGUGCCAGCAGCCGCGGUAACACGUAGGGGGCAAGCGUUGUCCGGAAUCACUGGGCGUAAAGGGCGCGUAGGCGGUUUAUUAAGUUGCAUGUGAAAUCCCAGGGCUCAACUCUGGACCUGCAUGCAAAACUGGUAGACUUGAGUAUGGCAGAGGCAAGUGGAAUUCCUAGUGUAGCGGUGGAAUGCGUAGAUAUUAGGAGGAACACCAGUGGCGAAGGCGACUUGCUGGGCCAAAACUGACGCUGAGGCGCGAAAGCGUGGGGAGCAAACAGGAUUAGAUACCCGUGUAGUC